rnacentral:rRNA from 1 species
CCCUUAGAUGUUCUGGGCCGCACGCGCGCUACACUGACGAAGUCAGCGAGCAUGUCCUACGCCGACAGGUGCGGGGAAUCUUGUCAAACUUCGUCGUGAUGGGGAUUGAUUAUUGAAAUUCUUGAUCAUCAACGAGGAAUUCCUAGUAAGCGCAAGUCAGCAGCUUGCGUUGAUUACGUCCCUGCCCUUUGUACACACCGCCCGUCGCUACUACCGAUUGAAUGGUUUAGUGAGAUCUUCGGAGUGGCGCCACUGCGGCUCAGCAAUGGGCUCGGUGGAUGCCGAAAAGUUGAUCAAACUUGAUCAUUUAGAGGAAGUAAAAGUCGUAACA